rnacentral:lncRNA from 1 species
AUUUUAAAAAUCAAUGAAAUUUGGAAACAGGGAGGAAAAAAACAAACAGUGCAACUAGCUGGGAAAACAAAGCCCAGCAAUUGUUCACUUAUAUAAAGGAAAAAAUGGUUGCUGGCAGCUAUUAUAUCAUUGGCAAACAUUGCUUGCUUGUUACAGUGCAGCUGGGUUAUACAAAACACCCUUAUUACAGAUGACAAUCCAGGGUUGGGGCAUUGGCAAUUUAAAAAAAAAUCCUUAUGAAAGUUGUGGCAUAUUGUUUUAUUUUGUAAAAUUAAAUGGGUGAUUUUCAAACCUGUUUGGUUUAUUUUUAUUAACCUAUUUCUUCUUUAUCUUUGCUUAUGUAUUACGAUUUUUAAAUAUAUAUAUAUAUAUAUUGCCUCAUUUUUUCUUUUUCUUUUUUAAAGGCUGCAAAAUACACAUAGUCUCUGCAAGAAAUGGAAUCUGGGUCUCUGCUGCAUCCAUGCACAAGCUACGUGAGACACUUUGAGUUCUCUGAAGGAAGAAAGGUGGGAAUUUGGACAAUUGUCUGUUCUGGAGGGAGUCUUGAAAAAGUAAGGGUUACCUCAAACAAAAGCUCUGAAGCAUAAGGGUUGGGAAUUGAUGGGAGUUCCUUGCAAUUGGGAUAAUGUGAUUUCCUUCCAGAUAUCUCAUCUGUGGCUCUAAGAUUUGCUCUUCCUGCUCCAAGGUAAGGACCUCUGGACAGUUAAGUCCAGUCGAAGGUGACUAUGGGGUUGCACUGCUCAUCUUGCUUUUCAGGCGGAGGGAGCUGGCGUUUAUCCGCAGACAGCUUUCCGGGUCAUGUGGCCAGCAUGACUAAACCGUUUCUGGAGCAAUGGGACACUGUGACGGAAAGCAGAGCGCAAGGAAACGCCAUUUACUUUCCCAUCACAGCGGCACCUAUUUAUCUACUUGCGGCUGUGUUCUUUUGAACUGCUAGGUUGGCAGGAGCUGGGACAGAGCAAUGGGAGCUCACCUUGUCAUGGGGAUUCAAACUGCUGAUCUUCUGAUCAGCAAGCCCGCUGAUAGGUCCACCCACCAUUGUGAGGCUCAAAGCAAUGAAGAUGAUGCCUCCUCAGCUGUUGCCAUUGGCUGUGGGUUUCUUGUGAUGUCACAAAAGCACUUGGCAACUGAGUGGAUAUAAAGGCAGGCCAAUGGGAAAGCCCUUUUUUAUUUCCAGCAGGACACACCUGGCAAUGGAUGUGACAUUCAGCACUGCCCAGGUUUCUGCCACUUGGAGGAGGCAAACUCGUGAAUGGAAGGAGGCAAUCCUCUGGCAGUGGGAUGCUAGGGAGCGAUAAUAAGGCAAGUUUGCUUGCUUGAAGGCUGCUGGUAUCCGUGGUUGGAAGCUGGCGGACGUCUCAUGAUGGAACUAAAAGUACCAGUAGCUUCUGGCACAAUGGGACACUGUGACGGAAUCCAGAGCACACGGAAACGCCAUUUACCUUCAUGCCGCAGCGGUACCUAUUUACCUAUUUGCACUGGUGUGCUUUCGAACUGCUGGGUUGGUAGGAGCUAGGACAGAGCUCCCUCUGUUGCGGGGAUUCAAACCACCAACCUUCUGAUUGGCAAGCCCAAGAGGCUCAGUGGUUUAGACCACAGCACCACCCAUGUCCCUUUUACCUUUACCUUUACCUUUACCUUCCAAGGCACUUACUGCCUGCCCAUUCAUAAGCAUUCUUGGCCAUCCACAACCCUGAACAUUGCGGUUGCUUACCAUGCCAGGUAAAGAUUCAGCUAUGGGAAGAACUACGGGAAGGCAAGCUAGAAGACAGGAGCCCUCCAUUCAAACAUUGUUUUCAAGCUAGGCGUGUAAUAAUCCUGCCCUAUGAGACAAUCCUCACAGGAAUUCGGUUUCAUGGUUCAAUGUAGUAAGAAAUUCUGCAUCGCUCCUAUCUCCACAUUGACAAUGGUUUCAUCAAUUGCAUUUCUAGCAUAUGGAAAGGCAAGGCAGCACUGGAUAACUACCGGUAAAUAGAGAAGGGGGUAGGGGAGAAAUGAACCUGGAAAAUAUGUGAAUUUUCCCAACACAUUUUUAUGAAGAAUCUUCAGCAGGAAGUACCUUUGUAUGUUGUAAUGUUGUGUCUUCAUCUAGUUAAGCAGCUAGAGCAGUUUGUUCAGGAUGCGUUCUCCAGGGAACAUUCAUUUACUUACGAGAAUCAUAACAGUAUGAAAACAGAAUUACUCAUAAGGACACAAUACAAGCCCUGCUGGAUCAGGCCAGUCACCUAUCUAGUCCAGCAUGGAACUGCAUUUGCCAUUUUACUGCCCGUUCACAUUCACUCAGUUUGGAGAGAUCCUUUUGGAAAACUACACAUUCCAUUUUCAUUUUACCCAUCCUAAACAAUUGGGUAUUGUCAGCCAACUUGGCUACCACCUUGCUUACCCCUAUGUCUAUAUCAUGUAUGAACAUCAUCAUCAUCAUCAUCAUCAUCAUCAUUAUAUUUAUUUAUACCCCGCCCAUCUGGGUGGC